CUCCCCACCCACACUACUCUUUCCUGGAAGCUGACACGUCCUCUGGACUUCCUCCUCCCCUCCAUGUAGGAUCCUUUGUCCCCAGGGAUGACAGAACCUUCUGAGUGGGCUGUGGUAGUCCCAGUGAUGUCAUUGCAGGCUGCCACAGGAAGGGGCAGGCCCGUCUGACAAUGCAGAGCACUACGAUGGGGGAGCAUGCAGAAUUACAGAGCCGCUCAUCUCAGGGAGAAAAUUUGGUCAACAAGCAGAAAGAGAAGACAAUGAUAACUGCCAAGAAGAAGCCAGAAUAAAGUUCUUGUGCCCAGUGACA